CCUACGGGAGGCAGCAGUGAGGAAUAUUGGUCAAUGGACGAGAGUCUGAACCAGCCAAGUAGCGUGAAGGAUGAAUGCCCUCUGGGUUGUAAACUUCUUUUAUAUGGGAAUAAAAUGUUCCACGUGUGGGAUUUUGUAUGUCCCAUAUGAAUAAGGAUCGGCUAACUCCGUGCCAGCAGCCGCGGUAAUACGGAGGAUCUGAGCGUUAUCCGGAUUUAUUGGGUUUAAGGGGAGCGUAGGUGGAUUGUUAAGUCAGUUGUGAAAGUUUGCGGCUCAACCGUAAAAUUGCAGUUGAAACUGGCAGUCUUGAGUACAGUAGAGGUGGGCGGAAUUCGGGGUGUAGCGGUGAAAUGCUUAGAUAUCACGAAGAACUCCGAUUGCGAAGGCAGUUCACUGGACUGCAACUGACACUGAGGCUCGAAAGUGUGGGUAUCAAACAGGAUUAGAUACCCGAGUAGUC
rnacentral:rRNA from 1 species